GCACUGCUGAGGAGUCCCACAAUAGGACGAAACAGCUGUCCAUUGC
rnacentral:hammerhead_ribozyme from 1 species